AACCUGGUGGUGCAAUGGUAGCACUUCUCCGAUAGGGCUGGCGAAUUUUAGGGCGAAUCAAACUACUACCCACUGGAGGUCUGUGUAGGAGAAUUACUGGGUUCGAAUCCCAGCCAGGCUU